CCUUUCAACAGAAGUUUUAUCUUCUUGAUCAUCAAGUUGUGCUAGCAAUCAAUGGUUCUUCAACACUAUUAAGAUCACCAUUAGUAACUGAAGUAGGAACAUCAUCCAUGACCAACAUUAUUACUUCAGCAACCUCUUCAGCAUCUUCAGUGUUUCGCUGAACAUUCAACUCAGUAUUUGGUGAUGCUCGAAUCCUUUCCAAUUCUAUCGCAACUUCCACCAUUGCAGGUCGUUUCUUCCCAUUCAAAUUUAAGCAUCUUAGUGCUAGAUUAGCUACUGCAGCAAUUUCUUCUUUGUGGCAAUCCUCCAUAAUACGAACAUCAACAAUGUCAAAAAGUCUAUUCUCUUCCAUCAAAAAAAUAAAAUAUGUAGCCAAACUCAUGGUUUCUUGCGAGCUACUUGAGCAAAUCGGCUUUUUUCCGCUUAAAAGCUCUACCAGAACCACUCCAAAACUGUAAACAUCACUCUUAUCUGUAAAUUGGCUGGACUGAAAGUACUCUGGAUCUAAAUAACCAAAAGUGCCGUGCACAUGAGUUGUCAAAUGAGUUUGAUCAAUGGCAAUUGAUCUUGAAGUUCCAAAAUCUGAAACUUUUGCUCUGUGUUUCUCAUCCAGUAGUAUAUUAGUGGACUUGAUGUCACGAUGGUAAACUGGAAUAGAAGCUGCUGAGUGCAAAUAUGCAAGAGCCCCUGCAAUUUCACCAGCAAUCCGUACUCUCAUUUCCCAAGGCAAUGAAGUCUCAACAUUUGGGUCAUGGAGGUAUUCGAAAAGAGAUCCAUUGGGUAUGAAUUCAUAGACUAGCAGAGGAACUUCGGUUUCCAAGCAACAUCCCAACAGCCUAACAACAUUCCUGUGAUUGAUUUGAGAAAGAAUCACAACUUCAUUGAUAAAUUCUUGUAGGUUUUCCUCAUCAACUAAUUUGGACAUUUUGACAGCAACAAUUCUUCCAUCAUCUAGCAUUCCCUUGUACACUGUGCCUUGACCACCUUGACCAAGUAUCCUGUUUUGAUUGAAACGAUCAGUGGCCUUUUCCAACUCUUUUGAUGUAAAUAUUUUUGUUUUCUGAACACUGCCAUUGCUUGAAGUUAUUUGUUGUUGUAACAGCAAGCCACCAUUCCGUUUAAAAAAAUGUUUUUUGAGUUCAAUGCUCCUCCUUUUCUUUAUAAGCUUGUUCAACCUCCAAGCACCAAAGCCUAUUAGCAAUACUCCAAUAACCCCACCUAAGCACUAAGUAAUGCAACAAAGUCGGUGUAAGUAUAAUAAUAAGGCCAAGUAGCCAUGCAACUUAGAGAAACUGUUGAUUAAUAAUAAAUUUCAUAUUUUAAAAUUUAUAUUUAUUCAUAAUUAUAUUAAUAUGAAAUAUCUCUAUUAGAUAAUUUAUAGAUAACAUGAUAAAUGAGUUAAAUCCAAAAAUUUCUUUAGAACUGAAAAUGGAUCUUAAAUAACAUGAUUAUUAGGCAAAAGAAACCUUACCAACAAUACGAUCCAUUUUGCAUCAGCUACACAUUUAUAUGAUCCCGAAAUAUUUACACAUUUUGUUAUUCCCUUGCAACGACUAUGUUUUGAAUCUUUGCAUUCAUCAAUAUCUAAUACAAAACAACAAUAACAUUCCAAUUAUUGUUAUAGAGAUAAUAACAUAUUAUUAAUAGGUAAAUUUAAUUUUAAAAAAAAAAAGAAAAUAUAAAAUUAUCUUUUUAUCAAGGAAACCAAACAGAACCAAAAACACUAAUCAAAAUCAAUUCGUAUUUUUUUUGCAUGAGGAAGAGGAACAAAUCCAACAUUACACAAUAUAUAUGGGGAGACCUAUAUAUAUAUAAUAAUAUGUACGUUUCAUUUAUUUAUUAAAUGAUAAAAUUUAAUUUUUGUAAACAAAUAAUUUGUAUUCUCAAACUAUAUUUAUAACAUUUUUUUAUAAUAUUUCUUUUGACUAAAAGUUUGUCUUUUUUCUUCAAAAAGUAACUAAUUUUAUAAUAGAAAUUCAUUUUAAUUUAUUUGAAAUAAUUUUCCUGUGUAAAUUGUAAAAGUUAUAAAGUAAAUAUUGUUGGAUAUUGUAAAACCAAUAUUGAAUUCAUUUUAUGUGGCUUUUUAUAAAAAUUUAUACAGUUAAACAUGUUAGAGAACAGAGUAUCCACAUAUUUAAUAAAUAACUUCAAUAUUCAUUUAGAAUUCAAUCCAACAAUUACAAUCCAUUUCUACAUAGUUUUCACAGCAAGUACAACAAUUACAAUCCAUUCCAAUCAAAUAAGAUUUGCUGUCCUUUCUUCUCUAAUUUCUUAAAUACAUUAAGUGGAACUCAUCCUUGAAAGGCUUCCCGGAGGCCGCACUAAGCCUAGCAGGCCACCCGAUCGCCCCCUAAUCACCUUUAAUAUACUUGUACAAAUUUCACAACCGAAAAAUCAAUGGUUUAUUAUUAAAAAUCGCUCUUCCUUAUAUUUAUUAUGGCUGAUUAAAACUUCCUUUGCUCUUUAACUUUACCUCUUCUAUCUAGGUGAGCCAAUAACAAUGAGGAUGGAAAAUUUGAAAGAGCCAGAUAAGAGAGAAGAAGAAAAGUAUGGGAGGAGGAGGAGAGGGGUUAGUGGAAUGAAAAUUGAGGACCAUAGAAGAAGAAGGAUAUGAUUAACGGUUGAAGAUUAGGGGAGAAGAAGAGACCGAUAAUCGAAGGAUGAGAGAGAUGAAGUCAUUAGGCUUAAGAUUAUAUAUAUAGUUUAAUUUGAUUUGGUUUGAUUUAAUUCAAAAAUUACUUAAUUAUAGUUAAAUUUUUUGAUUAAGAAGUGCAUUUAUAAUUUUUGUUUAAAAUUAAUAAAAUUUAUUAAUAAUUAUUAAUAAAAGAACGAACUAGUUGCAUUUUAAAAUAAUGAAUUUUUUUUAAUUAAUCAUAAAAAUUAUAAAAAUAAAAUAGUUAAUUUUACCAAAACUCAGGAUGCAUAGUAAUUUUUCCAUUGAAGUUUAUCAUUAAAAUUUAUUUAAAUUAGACUUGAUAUUAUUAUUAUUUUUAUUUAUAUUACGUGAUCUAAUAUUGAUUGAAAUAAACCUUCUGUUUUGUAGCGAUUAUUUGUUAAGAAAAAAAAAAAAGGACUUAUAGUUGACUAUUGUGUAAUCUAAAAUAUAAAAAUAUCAGAUUCUUUUGUUAUCUAUUUAUUAUUACUAAAAAUAAAAAACGAGAUAGUCAAUUUACCGGUGCAUCCAAUGUAAGGGCUGCCUUCAUACCCGCCACCGCAACGACAACGGAAUAUUCCCUGAUUAAUAAAAGCAGAACCAGAACUGUAGUAGCAAUACAUUAUUUCCGAGUAACGACCGUUCCAUAGCCCGGAAUCGACCAUCCAAUUAUGACUUUCCGUUCGGUUCAUUUUGACCAUCCAAUCUAGUACCAUCGGAAACUGCAUAUUUGAAUCAUUUUUCGUCCAGGAUUCUCCAUCAUAUAAUCCUGCUAGAAAUGCCAGCUUGCAACCACCUGUGCCCCGAUUAACAUCUAUAGCCUGGAAACUUGGAUUAAAAACCUGAAGGGAUGAAGGUAUUGUAAUCUGACAGCAAUCGAUACCAUCACAAUAAUCUUCCGUGAUCCAGUAAUUUCCAGAGGAACCGUUUACGAUUUUAGAAAGCUUUUCUCGCCAAUCAACAUCCUUCCGAAGAAGGCAUUUUGACUCACACCCGAGGCGUUGGAGGGGAUUAUCUAUCAUUAAAGCACGAGUAUCACAAGCUACUGCAGUGAAUAUGUUGUAGUCGGAAAUAAAGAAAGGACUUCCUAUCAAAUUGAGCGGCAGCAGAUGAUCAGUCUCCAUGCCCAAACAAUUGGACGACAUUAUUGGACUUUUGACGUUAGCCCUGCCACGUACAGAAAUAUUGAGGAGCUCCAUAUUGAUUUUAUUUAGAAAAGCUCCACUUUGGUUGCACUUAAUCUCGAACCAUUCGUUUAAAUAGCAAUCCUUGUUAUCCAUUCCGAAUGGGAAUGGAAUCUCUAUAUCUCCGCAAAGGUCUGUACAGUUGGGCUUUGCAAUGGGUGCCUUUGCUAUUGCCAACUGAAUAAUACACAGCAAUAGUGCCAAACUGAAACCCACUCCACACGCUAAUUUCAUACUCAUUGGUGUUUCUCUUAAGAGCCUUUUGAGUUCUGGACAACAAAAAUGCUUCUUCGUAAUUUCUAAGCUAAAACUGAAACCACGGGGUCAUCUCUAAACCAAAACAAUAAUAUAUAAAAAAGGAUAAAAUCAAGAACAGUCAAUGUUAUUGAGUGUGGAAAAUUCAUGGAUAGGACUAUUAUUUUUCCAUGAAAUAUCUCAUCUACAGUUUUAGAGAGAAAAACAAGUCAACAGAUUUUAUAUUUUCCAUUCUAUGAUGUGUUAGUUUUAGUUUGUAUUUGUGUUGAAUUUAUUUUAAAAUGUCAUUGUUUAUUAUUUAAACUUAAAAAUAUUUUAAUAUAUUAUUUAAAGUCAAGAAAUUAAUUAAUAUGUUGCCAUUAAUUAAUUAAUUAAACGUGCGAAUAUUACAGUUUCCUUUGAAAAGGAAGUUGAGAGAAUAUUCAAAGGAAGAGUGAGCUAUACGUAGAAGCAAAACUGGAAAUGUAUAGAUGUGAAUAUGCUGAAAGAAACAUAAUAGAAGACUAACUUCAUAGCGUGCAUUGGAUAUUUUUUAAGGACUUGUCUUGAUAUAUCUUACUUUAUUUGUUAUAAAAAUAAAUAAAUGAAUAAAAGGUAGGGAAUUAAGAGAAGUCUUCAUUUGAAAAUUAAUUAAGAUCAUGAAAUAAAUUUCCAUGUCGGAUUUUCAAUUUUUAUUUUGAGUGUGACUUUUCAUUUUAGUUUCUUAAUCAAUUGGGACCAUUAGUUGCGUGUUUUAGGAACCAUUUCUCACCGAUCAAAAUCCAUCUGGCUCAUGCAUGUCCAAACGUAUGUAGCAGGUCGGGGUGAGCAUUCGAUCGGUUCGGUUCAAAAUCAAACCGAACCGAAUAAACCGAAACUCGAAAUUUUAGUAUUUAUAAAAAUCGAAUUAAAUCGAUUUUGAUCAGAAACCGAAUCGAACCGAUUUUGAUCAGAAACUGAAUCGAACCGAAUCAGUUUGAUUCAAUCUGAUUCGGUUCGGUUUUGAUUUUUAAUAAAUUUUUUUAUUUUUUAUAUUUUUAGUAUUUUAAAAUUUAAUUAUAAUAUUUUAAUUUUAAUAUAAUUUAAUUUCUCUAUAUUGUUGAAAAGAAUAUAUUAUUAUCACUAAUCGGUUCGAUUUUUUUUAUUUUUUUCUGAUCAAAAUCAAACCGAAUCAAAAUAACCAAAAUUUCUGAAAUUAAAAACUAAAUCGAACUGAAUUGAAUAAAAAAUUAAACUGAAUUUUCAAAUUAAUUCGGUUCGAUCGAUUUUUUCGAUUUAAACUAAAUACUGCUCACCGCUAGUAGCUGAAGUUGAAUAGUUGAGUAAUUAUACAGUAAAUUAAUAAUAUUAUAUGAGCAUGUGAUAUGCUAUUGUAAAUCAAUAGAAAGUUAACAUGUUUAAAAAUAUGAUUUUUGUUGAAUAAAAAAAAUUAAAUGAUGAUUACUGUUUUCAGAUUUAGCUAUACAUAUGUAUAUGUUAAUAUAUAAUUGAUUUUUUUAAAAAAUAUUAUUUAAUUUCAAUAUUAUGUAAGAAUUAAUGCAUUUCUUAAUUUGUUUAACUUUUCGGUCAAUUUUAUAAAAAUUAAAACGGAAUGAAAGUUAUUCGAUUUAAAUUAAAAAAAUUGACUGAAUUAAAUUAAUUUAAAAUUUUAAUUUAAUUUUUUAUUUCUUUAAUUUAAUUUGAUUUUAUUUUUAAAAAAUUUAAUUAUUUUAAUUUAGUUGGAUUUUAUUAAUAAAAAAUUUAAUAAAAUCAAACUGAAUCAGAUUAAUAAUAUAAUUAUUUUUUAUAAUAUAUAAAUAUUAGAUCAUAUAACCAACGUUAAAAUAUUUUAAUUAAAUUUUAUAAUAUUAAAAAUAAUAUGAAAAAAAUAAAAAAAAUCAUUAGAAAAUUCAAUUGAUCUGAUCAAAUUAAAUUAAAUUAAAUUAUAUCGAUUUAAUUCAAAUUUAUUUGGAUUUAAAAUCAAUUUAGUUAAUUUUUAUAAAUAUUAAAUUUUUUUAUUUUUAUUUAUUUAAUUUAAUUUUAAAUCAAGUGAAUAUUAACUAAAAAAAUCUCUCCAAUCAAAUUCAAGAUUAGACUAUUAUUUUAUUGGAAAAUUGAUAGAUACAUGCAUGUGAAUUGAUUGAAUAUUUAUAAAUGUUGUCGGGUUGAAUGACUUAGAUGAUAAAGAAUUGGUGUGUAAUUGAAUAUUAUUAAGAGUGUAAAUUUCAUAAAAAAAAGAAUUGAGUUUCUCUCUCUCUCAAAUAGUUGUUUGAGAAUUUUGCUAAUCCUAAACUCAUGAAAGGUAGGGAGAAGUUGCCUCUAAGUUUUUUUUAUGUCUAUUGAUAGGCAAAUUUAGAAUGCCAUUAUUAUUAGGGAUUGAUGUUUAAGAUCCGGUACAAGAUAAACUCAAAAUUUAUUUUAGUAAGUUUGUUUUGUUCUGUCUUUUUUUUUUCUUUUAUUUUAUAGUGAUACAUAACUGUCGUUCUGUACUCGUACCUCUUACUAUAGUCACGUUUGGCCAUAUGUUCGGACGUAUUACACUCUUUUUUAUCGUUACGUAGUCAUUUAAUUUCAUUCGCCGUCAAGUGAACACGAUUCUAGAUAUUACGGAAUAUGUUGCCUACGGAUUCAGCAGGUUAAUCGAGUUGAGCCUCCUAUAUGUAGGCCCGAAUUCAAUUCUGUCCUUCAAAGUAAAUCUUGGGCUUAUAAUGAGAUAUUUAAGCCUUACUCUAUUAAGUCCGAGACUUGCUUAUACAAAAAAACAGUAUAAUUAUAUUUUAAAUAAAUUAUAUUUUGAUCUAUGAGUUUUAAUAUAAUUAAUAAAUCAAUUUCUAUAUUUUUAAAAUCAAAUACUUAAAUAUCUCUAUAAUCAGUCUGUCCAAAUUAGAGGUAAUUCAAUUCAUUUUUACUAUUAAAAGUGUGAAAAUAUCUUUAUUACCUUUUUAAAUAAAUAAAUUAUACUUGAGUUAUUUAAUUUUAGCAUAAUUAAUAUAUCGGUUUCUAUAUUUUUAAAAUUAUACACUUAAAUUCUUCUAUAAUCAGUCUGUUUUCAUCUAUUAUAAUUUAAUCAUUUUGAUCCUUCAUUUUUAUUUGAAAAAACACCUAAAUUCUUAUUAAUUUUUAUUUGUAAUAUCUCAUUUAACUAAUUUUUAACAUUUUUUAUUUUUUAAUUUUUAUUCAUUAAAAUAUUUCAAUAUUUACACGUUUUCAAAACUUUCAGAAAAUAUUUACAAUUUCAGUUAUUUUUAAGUGAUAUUAAAUAACCUUUUAAAUGGAUUGUAAACAUUUAUAAAAAGUAUUUUAGUAAGAAAUUGUAUUUUCAGAAAAGUUUGAUUAUCCACUAGUUUGGAAAUAAUAUUUAUAAUGGAUGGAAAAAUUAUAAUUUUAGACAGAUUAAAUAUGGAGAUAUUUAAAAAUUUAAUUUUAAAAAUACAAAAAUCGAUCCGUUAAUUAUACUAAAAUUUAGGGAGUAAAAUGUAGUUUAUUAUAUAUAAAAUUCUCAUUUAUAUUGAAAAAAAAUUUAAAUGUUCUUGAGGGUAUUUUGAAAAUUUAAAAUGUUUAUUCAUCGGUUGAUUAACGGAAUUAUAAAUGAAAAAACUUUCAAUUUGAAUGAAAUGAUUAUAUAGAGAUCUAAGUAUUCGAUUUUAAAAAUAUAGAGAUUAAUCUAUUAAUUACAUUAAAAUCCAAGGACUUAACUAUAAUUUACUUUUAUAUUUUUAAAAAUUUUUAAUUUGGUUUCAUAAUUUUAAUGUUUUUUUACUUAAAAUAUAUUUUUAUCUUGUAAAUCAAUUUAAUUAUAAGGUGUUUGGUUAAAAAAUCCUUAGAAGCAAUGUUUCAUUAAAAGAUCUUUGGAAGAAACUUAAAUUUUUUAAAUUAUAACGCAAUAGUUUGAGAAUAGUUAAAAAUUGUUAUAAAAAAAAUAAUUUGUUAUAUAAUAAUAAUAAUAAUAAUAAUAAUAAUAAUAAUAAUAAUAAUAAUAUAUUUUAUAAAUAAUUUAUUUUAUAUUUAAUAAAAUUAUAAUUUUAACAAUGAUUUUUAUUUUUCUAAUUUUUAAAACAUUAAUAAAAAAAAUUACUUAUUAAAAAAAAACUUUAAAAUAUAACAGUGACUGUUGAAUCCUAAUAUUAAUUAGGCAAACAAUAGCGAUGUGAUCCACAUCAGAACUAUAAUAUAAGCUGUUUAAGUUAGAAAGUCACCUUAAAAUUAUUUGUUAAAAAAAGUACAAAGGAAAGGUUAGAAAUCAUCAACAUCUUUGGUACGAGGAAACAAAAAAAGGCAAAAAAUGCUUAAUACACUUCGAGAAACAACAUGAAACAUAUGUUUUGAUGGAUACUAAAUCUUCUUGGUCUCCAAUAUUGAUGGAGUUUAAUUAGUUUACUAAAAUCACAACUAAACUGCAAUAGCAAUGCCAUCAGAUAUGGUUUCUUGAGUCUCAUAGCUUUCUGUAAUAGAAUCAUCAUCAGAUAGAUUGUCUUCGAUCUCUUCAUUAUUUUUUUUAACAAUGUUCAGCUUACUUCGUGAUGUUUGUAUCCCGUCUAGCUCCGCUGCAACUUCUUUCAUCGUAGGUCGUUUCUUUCCAUUCAAAUUUAAGCAUCUU
rnacentral:lncRNA from 1 species